GGAUCGAUGAUGACUCCCUCAUAUGCAUUCCUUGGAAAAGCUGAACAAAAUGAGUGAGAAUUCCUACCGUCGUUCUCAUCGAAUCUGAGGUCC
rnacentral:snoRNA from 1 species